AUUGAACGCUGGCGGCAGGCCUAACACAUGCAAGUCGAACUAGAGGCGGACGGGUGAGUCAUGUCUGGGAAACUGCCUGAUGGAGAGGGAUAACUACUGGAAACGGUCGCUAAUACCGCAUACCAUCGGAUGUGCCGAGAUGGGAUUAGCUAGUAGGUGGGGUAACGGCUAACCUAGGCGACGAUCCCUAGCUGGUCUGAGAGGAUGACCAGCCACACUGGAACUGAGCCACGGUCCAGCCUCCUACGGGAGGCAGCAGUGGGGAAUAUUGCACAAUGGGCGCAAGCCUGAUGCAGCCAUGCCGCGUGUAUGAAGAAGGCCUUCGGGUUGUAAAGUACUUUCAGCGGGGAGGCGUUACCCGCAGAAGAAGCACCGGCUAACUCCGUGCCAGCAGCCGCGGUAAUAC
rnacentral:rRNA from 1 species